GUCAAGAGUGAUGGUGUCUCUAACUAAGGUGUUGACCUUGACAUCUUAAAUCAUCCGGGUGGAGUUGAUGAAAACGGAACGUGGUGAACCUAACUAUGGUCGUUAACGUGGGGCACUGCUGGAUCCCAGGUAGUGUGGAAGUGGGCCUUCACUGCAGUACAGACCAUCUGAUCUUCUGAUAUCUAGGGGUCCAGGCAAGAGAAGUUGGUUUCACUAACCGUGGGCUGACCUUGGAGUCCUGCAACUAUCCAGGUUCCAGUCAAGAGAUCUUGGUAAGAUAAAGCUGCUUGCUUACGUGGGAUAUUGUGGAAUCCAGGCAAGGGAUGAUAUGACCUUUAACCGCUGCACAGACCCUUAUGUCUUCAGUUAUCUAAUGCUGACCUUGGAUUUCUGCAAGUUGUCAGUUUCCAGUCCAGACAUCAUGUCUAAGCUGC